rnacentral:lncRNA from 1 species
GUCCAAGAUUGUAAAACCAUGGUGGGGAAGGGAGAUAGAAGAAAAAGAAUGCACAUUAGAAGUACAUUUUCUCAAGAUACAGUUGCAUGUGGACAAGGUCUAAAGAAUAGGUAAACAUGAAAGUAGUUGGUAUAGUUAUUUUCCUUUGUUUUCUCAGCUUCCUACACUGUUGUACUGAUAGAUAAUGAAGAGGUUUUGUUUAAUAUUUUGAGUUAAUAAGUAACCAACCUAUGUCAAGGUUGAGCAAAAAUUUUCAUGUGAAUUUAUGAGUUAUCAUGACUUUUUCCUUCAGAGCAUUGUCAAGAUUGCUGCAUUAACCCAGGUAAUUUUGGAUGCUUUUGGCUUUAAACAGGUACCACUCAAUGGCCUAGACCAGGAGGGCAAGCUCCUUCAUCUCCAAGCUAUGAAAAUUCACUCCACUCCCUGUCUCGAAUGGAGGAUCGUUUGGACAGACUGGAUGAUGCUAUCCACGUGUUGCGGAACCAUGCUGUGGGACCUUCCACCAGUUUACCUGCUGGUCACAGUGAUAUUCACAGUUUAUUGGGACCAUCCCAUAAUGCACCAAUUGGAAGCCUCAGUUCAAACUAUGGAGGAUCAAGCCUUGUUACAAAUAAUCGAUCAGCUUCAAUGGUAAGAUAGCCAGCCCUCAUCUUUCUCAUAAUAGCCCCUAAAGACUGCUGCCCUAAAUGUUUCCAUGAAAUAUUUGGGGAAGAGUCUUUCUUUUUGAAAGGAAGAUAAAGAGAGGCUUUUGAGUUUCCUUUAUUGUCUGGGGCAGAGUUACUGGCUGAGUAUUGAUCCAUAAAAUCCUGCUAUGAGUAUGUAGAAGAAGAAACUUUGUACAGAUACCAUUUUAGCUUAAACCUGGAUUUUGUUUUUCCAAAUGUGUAAAGAUUGGCACAACAGUUUGUGCCUUGAAAAAGUAGGCAGGAAAUUUGAAUAACAGUGCAGUAAAACAAGACUGAAUUUCAAGGAUUCUAUUCUAGGAAAAUUACUAUUGUGCUUUAGAAUCCACCUUCAACCACAGAAAAAAAUGUGAAACUCGGGCCUGGGAUUUAGCUCAGUGGUUCCGCCGCCUGCCUCACAAGCACAAGGACCGGAGUUCAAUCUCUGAUACCAAAAACAAAAACAAAACAAAAAUGUGAAACUUCAGUUUGUACAAGUCCAAAUUUAAACUAUUUGCAAAUGAAAUUAAAUGGGGGGGUUAGUUUUUAACAACAGCUAUAAUUUAAGUAACAAAGUAAGGAAACAAUUUUAGAUUAUGCCUACAAGAGAAUAAAAUAAUUUAAUCGAUAUUUGAAAAAAACAUGGUAUUUCGUGGGGACAGGGUAGGGCUCUAUAACCCUUACACAUCAGAAAUUCUGUUUUGAAUGUCUUACAUUAUUUUCUAUCCAGAUUGUCUUUUAAAGGAGUGAAAUUCUUUUUGAACCUGAUAUUUAAUUAAUGCCAUAUGUUUGCGUGUUUAUGGUAUGGGUCUUAAGGUUCACUGCAUGCCAAGAAAUAGCCUUCUAUUAAACAAAUUUCUAGCUAUAGGCCAUGUGAUCAGGGCUAAAAGUCACC